rnacentral:rRNA from 1 species
AUUGAACGCUGGCGGCAUGCCUUACACAUGCAAGUCGAACGGCAGCAUGGGUGCUUGCACCUGAUGGCGAGUGGCGAACGGGUGAGUAAUGCAUCGGAACGUACCCGGAAGUGGGGGAUAACGUAGCGAAAGUUACGCUAAUACCGCAUAUUCUGUGAGCAGGAAAGCGGGGGAUCGCAAGACCUCGCGCUUCCGGAGCGGCCGAUGUCGGAUUAGCUAGUUGGCGGGGUAAAGGCCCACCAAGGCAACGAUCCGUAGCGGGUCUGAGAGGAUGAUCCGCCACACUGGGACUGAGACACGGCCCAGACUCCUACGGGAGGCAGCAGUGGGGAAUUUUGGACAAUGGGCGCAAGCCUGAUCCAGCCAUGCCGCGUGAGUGAUGAAGGCCUUAGGGUUGUAAAGCUCUUUUGCCAGGGAAGAUGAUGACUGUACCUGGAGAAUAAGCCCCGGCUAACUUCGUGCCAGCAGCCGCGGU